CCCUACUCCUACGGAGGCAGCAGUAGGGAAUCUUCCGCAAUGGGCGAAAGCCUGACGGAGCAAUGCCGCGUGAGUGAUGAAGGUUUUCGGAUCGUAAAGCUCUGUUGCCAGGGAAGAACGCUUGGGAGAGUAACUGCUCCCAAGGUGACGGUACCUGAGAAGAAAGCCCCGGCUAACUACGUGCCAGCAGCCGCGGUAAUACGUAGGGGGCAAGCGUUGUCCGGAAUUAUUGGGCGUAAAGCGCGCGCAGGCGGUCAUGUAAGUCUGGUGUUUAAUCCCGGGGCUCAACCCCGGAUCGCACUGGAAACUGCGUGACUUGAGUGCAGAAGAGGAGAGUGGAAUUCCACGUGUAGCGGUGAAAUGCGUAGAGAUGUGGAGGAACACCAGUGGCGAAGGCGACUCUCUGGGCUGUAACUGACGCUGAGCGCGUAGCUUCCCAG
rnacentral:rRNA from 1 species